rnacentral:rRNA from 1 species
UACGGAGGGGGUUAGCGUUGUUCGGAAUGACUGGGCGUAAAGCGCGCGUAGGCGGCUUUGCAAGUCGGGUGUGAAAUCCCCAGGCUUAACCUGGGAACUGCAUUCGAGACUGCAUUGCUAGAGUAUGGGAGAGGGAAGUGGAAUUUCCGGUGUAGCGGUGAAAUGCGUAGAUAUCGGAAGGAACAUCAGUGGCGAAAGCGACUUCCUGGACCAAUACUGACGCUCAUGUGCGAAAGCGUGGGGAGCAAACAGG